rnacentral:lncRNA from 1 species
GAUAUCUAAAAUAAUUCAAAAUUUUAAAAUAUUAUUCUUUCUAAUAUCCAUAAAUUUCUUGUAUCAAACUAUAUCAUUUAUCAUAAUUCUUUGACUCAAAGAAUCAACAUUCUUGACUUACUCAAAGUAAUCUAGAUUACCAUGCUUCCGCUGCGCACUCUGAUCUAACAAUCAAAAUUUCUUAGGUUCAUCAAAAAAGUUUGAUCAAAUUAUUUCUUUAUCUUAUCAAUAGAAA